rnacentral:misc_RNA from 1 species
GAUGAAGAACGUAGCGAAAUGCGAUAAUUAAUGUGAAUUGCAGAAUUCCGUGAAUCAUCGAGUCUUUGAACGCACAUUGCGCCUCAUGGCAUUCCGUGAGGCAUGCCCAUCUCAGCGUUAGAAAUUAUUCUCAAAUUUUAGUUUUGUGCUAAAAUUUGGAUCAUGUCAAGGAAGCUAUUACUAUUAUUGUGAUCGCUCUUUGGAAAUUGAUAGGUCUUUGAGUUGCUACUCAUAGAACGUGAUGAAUCUUUCUUCGUUCUAUUGUAAUUCACUCUGGUAGUCCUAAAACUUGUAUGCCUGUGGCAUAUCUUGUAAUUUGACCUGAGAUUGGGUAGGGAUACCCGCUGAACUUAAGCAUAUCAAUAAGCGGAGGA